CGCGGGGUGGAGCAGUUGGCAGCUCGUCGGGCUCAUAACCCGGAGGUCGCAGGUUCAAAUCCUGUCCCCGCAACCA
rnacentral:tRNA from 1 species